rnacentral:tmRNA from 1 species
GGGGGUGUUCCGGAUUCGACCUCAAGUUGGAGCAUCUGGCUGCAUGUAGAGGAUGAUAGUUGGCCUCUUAAAUCGUCUAUCAAAAACACAAAUGGCACACACGAAGAAAUGCCUCUAGCAGCUUAAAUAAGCGCUACGUUCCCCCGCCGAUACUCGCUAGGCGGUGUGGAGCGACGACCAGCGAGCAUAGCCGAGAACGGGCGCCUCUUGCGCCUCGGCCGUACUUCAUCGAGAGGCUGGCCUCAAAAGUAGCGCGGUUUCGUCGCGACUGAGAGGCGAGAUUAAAAACGAAAACAAACAUGUAGACGCCUUAUGUGAAGGCUCGAGGGACGCGGGUUCGACUCCCGCCACCUCCACCA